rnacentral:rRNA from 1 species
UACAGAGGUCCCAAGCGUUGUUCGGAUUCAUUGGGCGUAAAGGGUGUGUAGGUGGCGCCGUAAGUCGGGUGUGAAAUCUCGGGGCUUAACUCCGAAACUGCAUUCGAUACUGCGGUGCUUGAGGACUGGAGAGGAGACUGGAAUUUACGGUGUAGCAGUGAAAUGCGUAGAGAUCGUAAGGAAGACCAGUGGCGAAGGCGGGUCUCUGGACAGUUCCUGACACUGAGGCACGAAGGCCAGGGGAGCAAACGGG